GAAAUGCGAUAAGUAGUGUGAAUUGCAGAAUUCAGUGAAUCAUCGAAUCUUUGAACGCACAUUGCGCCCGUUGGUAUUCCUUGGAGCAUGCCUGUUUGAGUAUCAUGAAAUCUUCAAAGUAAAUCUUUUGUUAACUCAAUUGGUUUCUACUUUGGUAUUGGAGGUCUUUGCAGCUUCACACCUGCUCCUCUUUGUUCAUUAGCUGGAUCUCAGUGUUAUGCUUGGUUCCACUCGGCGUGAUAAGUUAUCUAUCGCUGAGGACACUGUAAAAGGUGGCCAAGGUAAAUGCAGAUGAACCGCUUCUAAUAGUCCAUUGACUUGGACAAUACUUUUAUGAUCUGAUCUCAAAUCAGGUAGGACUACCCGCUGAACUUAAGC
rnacentral:misc_RNA from 1 species